CCUUAUCAAGAGAAGUGGAGGGGACCGGCCCUGUGAAACUCGGCAACCUGAUUUUCCCAAAUUAAGGUGCCAAAUCCGGCGGAUUAUCCGAAAGAUGAGG
rnacentral:ncRNA from 1 species